GUGCCUGUAGCUCAGUGGAUAGAGUACCACGUUGCGGACGUGGGGGUCGGGGGUUCGAGUCCCUUCAGGCACG
rnacentral:tRNA from 1 species